rnacentral:rRNA from 1 species
UACGGAGGAUGCGAGCGUUAUCCGGAUUUAUUGGGUUUAAAGGGUGCGUAGGCGGGCUUUUAAGUCAGCGGUAAAAACUCGGGGCUCAACCCCGUCCGGCCGUUGAAACUGGGGGCCUUGAGUGGGCGAGAAGAAGGCGGAAUGCGUGGUGUAGCGGUGAAAUGCAUAGAUAUCACGCAGAACCCCGAUUGCGAAGGCAGCCUUCCGGCGCCCUACUGACGCUGAGGCACGAAAGUGCGGGGAUCGAACAGG